GUUUGGGGUUAAAAAGACAAAAAAAAAACCCUAAAAAAGAGGAGCUGGAACUUCCAGUCUCCCCUCCCAGGGGUUUUAUUCUCUCACAGUCAAACAGGGAUUAAAAUUUUGUUCUGGGAGUGGGAAAAAUCAGAUAAAAGUUGGAAAUACAAGACCCAUUUGCAAGGAGAUUUCUCUGAUGGCAGCAGAGCAAAGCUGAUCGUUAUCAGUGAAACCCAGGGAAAAAAAGCACCUGAAAUUAAUUUAAAUAAAUUAAACAGAUCAACUUCUGUGAAAAAUCCAGGGGGAAAAAAUGUACCUGAAAUUAUUUAGAUGAAUUAAAAAUAUUAACAGCAUUCCAGUGUUAAGGAAAGAGAAAAUAUCGGUGUUCAGGACCCCCAAAUUCCCCUAUUUUCACCCCAAAACAAUGCCCCCAUUCAGGUGCUGCCAGGUCAAGCCUUGUGCAGAAAAGUUUUGGCAACAGCUCUUGGGAAAGGUCGGAGCUGUUGUUUGGGUUGUUUCAAGGUAAGUUUCCACCUUUAUUCUUUUAAUUUUUUAAAGAGAUAAAGGAAGAGAAUUGUUCCUGUUUCCUUGUUAAAAAGAGAUUUUCCCAGCAGCAACUCCAAACCACGGAGCACAAACUCUUUGGAGAUAAUUAAACGCAAUUAAAGGCGAUCAUUUCUCAUUUAAUGAGCUGCGAUGAGUGCAUGGAGAGGCAGAGGAAAAUGAGAUUUUACUGCAAGAACUUUAUUGCACCAAAUUCAAGUGCUGAGCCCGGGCUGUGCCUGUGGGACAGGGGGGACACAGUGACACCCCCGGCUCGUGGGGACACCGGGAUAAUUCACAUUUUUCCACUGUUUGCCCCUCAAAUUAAGGCUGGAUUUGGUAAUUAGGAGAUUUUAAAUCCGGAGGGGAGUGAGGGGAGCAGGGGAAGAAUGUGAAUUAUACACGGAGCGUUUAAAAUUUGGUUUAUUGUUCUUCAGGAGUUGGGCUUUUCCUCCAGUUCAGCACCUUCCCCUCCAGUGUGAAUUCCAGGAUUUGUCAUAUUUAAAACCAGGAUAAAUUUGGCUAAAAAAUUUUCCUUUUUUCAUUGCAGAAAGGUCUGGUUUUAUCUGCCCAUCAGGCUCUGAGUGCAAGAGGGAAAGGCAAAAACCGGAAUUUGGUGAUUUCAGCCCCAUUUCCCUCCCAUCCCGGGCAUCACCAGCCACUUCCAGGGCUCCUUGAUCCAUGGAAAAAUCAGAAUAUUCCAAAGGGAGGAGGGAAUUCAGCACAACCCCAGCCACAGAUCCAUGGAAAAAUUGGAAUAUUCCAAAGGGAGGAGGGAAUUCAGAACAACCACAGCGCCAUGGAAAAAUCAGAAUAUUCCAAAGGGAGGAGGGAAUUCAGAACAACCACAGCCACAGAUCCAUGGAAAAAUCAGAAUAUUCCAAAGGGAGGAGGGAAUUCAGAACAACCACAGCCACAGAUCCAUGGAAAAAUCAGAAUAUUCCAAAGGGAGGAGGGAAUUCAGAACAACCACAACCACAGAUCCAUGGAAAAAUCAGAAUAUUCCAGAGGGAGGAGGGCAUUCAGCACAACCACAGCCACAGAUCCAUGGAAAAAUCAGAAUAUUCCAAAGGGAGGAGGGAAUUCAGAACAACCCCAGCCACAGAUCCAUGGAAAAAUCAGAAUAUUCCAAAGGGAGGAGGGAAUUCAGCACAACCACAGCUAGAUGGAAGUGGGGACACACCGGGGUUUGGGGAGCUCACCUGAGGGGUUCAACAAGCACCAACAUUUUCUGCUUCAAUUGAUACAAAAAUCUCUCAUAAAGGGAGAGAAUUUUUGGAUUUUUGGAAUUCCAAAAUUCCAUUCCCUGUGCUCUGGAAAGGAGUUGGGAAAAGGGAGAAACUCUGGGGAGGGAGGAUGAGGGAUGGGGACGAGGCCUCACCUGCUGCAGGUACAGAAAUGGAAUUUGGUGAUAAACAGCAAAAUAUCCUGAGGGAACAGAGACCUAAAACUGCAUCCAAACCCUUCCAGGGCUGGAAAUUAUGGAAAAAAAUAUGGAUAUCAUGGGGAAAUAUCCAGGAGAAGGUGCACAAGGUCACCCCGGGAAGGGCGCUGCAAAAAUGUGUUUGGUAGAAGUAGCCUGGCUAAAAUCGCUACUGAAAUCCAUUGAUUUGAUCACAAAAUUCCCAUUUUCGGGGGUUUGCUGAUGAAGAAUGUCAGGAUUUUGGGGUGGAAUUUGGGAUUCUCCAUCCCAAAAAACCCAUAAAAAAAGAAGAAGGCAAUCAGAGGUUUAGCUGAGAAAAUUUCCCCUCACACCAAGUGAGGCCCGACCCAAAAAUCCCAAUUUUCUGUGCUCGGCAAGGUGGGUCAAACCCUUCCAAGGCUGGGUAUUAUGGAAAAAAUUAUGGAUAUUCUGGAAAAAUAUCAAGGAAAAGGUGCUCAAGGUAACCCUGGGGCAGCCAAAAAUGAAAAACACAUUUGCUAGAAGCAGCCUGGCCAAAAUUGUUCCUAAAAUCCCUUGGUUCGUUCCCCGGCAGCCCCACAGAAAAGUCUCCAAAAUUCCCAAUUUUUGGGGUUUGCUGAUGAAGAAUAUCAGGAUUUUGGGGUGGAAUUUGGGAUUCUCCAUCCCAAAAACCUCAGUUAAAAAGAAGAAGGCAAUCAGAGGUUUAGCUGAGAAAAUUCCCCCUCACACCUUCCCAAAAAUCCCAAUUUCCUGUGCUCAGCAAGGCAGGGGAAUGUGGACAGCAGUAAAAAAAAUUAAAAUAAAAAUAAAAAUAAAAAGCCUUUUCCAUCUUUCUGACAGAGAAAUUAAUUUUAAAGCCUUGUCUGACUCGCCCCUCCUUCACCCAGGACACUUUGGAACAUCAGUCAUGUGUGCCAGGAUGGAUUUUCUGUCUAAAAUUAACAUUUCAGCUGAAUUCUUUGGGAAAAAUGAGAGUGACACAGAGAAAAUCAGAGACAAAAAAAGAAAUUUUGGGCAGUGAGGUUCCUGUUCAAACCCCCCAGGAGUCAGAAUUCCAUGGAAAUCCCCCAAUCCCAAAAAAAAUUUGGAAUUUGCCCAAAAUUUAAGGCUGUCAGGCUGUUCCCAGCCAGCUCCUCCUGGUGUCCCUGCCUGGUUAAAAACAACAAAAAAUUUCAUUUUUUAAUUAAAAAGGAAUUCACAUCCUCACCUGGAGGAAAUCCUUCCUGCACAAGGCAACGCUGCUUUUCCUUAGACAUAAAGUUGACUUUAUUUCUUUUCUUUAAAAAGUUAAAAAUACAGAAGGUUCACAAACUUGCUUUUCUCCUUGCGGGUUUUUUGCAGCUUAAGGAGAAAACAAUCCUUCACUGAAAUGUUUCUCUUAAUUGGCUUUUAUUAUUAUUAUUAUUAUUAUUUUUAAUUUUGGGGGAGUUUUUUCCUUUCAAUCAUCAUCACCCUUUUUUUUUUAUUUUAAGGAACGCUGUAAUUUGAAUUUUGUUGGGGGUUUUUUUGCUUUUUUUUUUGCUUUUUUUUGCUUCUUUUUGAUUCCAAAUUCACAUUUUCAGGUGCCAAGAGUCCAGAGCAGAGCCCCCAGCUCGUUCUGCCUUCCUUUUUGAGAUUAAUUCUUAUUUUUUUGGAUUUAUUUAUU